rnacentral:lncRNA from 1 species
AUCCCUCACUGCACCUUAUAAAUUUUUGGCUUAGUAUUCAUAACGCUUGCUACCAAGCUGAAAAACUAAAUCACAAGAAUGGAUGGACAAGAAUGGUUUAGUAUAUUGCCUCUCCCCAGUAACAAUAUUGCCUCUCUAUUCCUACCAGGUCCAAAUGCAACCAACUAAGGUUGUAAGGAUGAACAAUAGGCAUCUUCUGCUUUCUAAUAUCUAGCAUAUAGCUGACAUCCCCAAUCCUUUCUUGAUGACUUGCCAUUGGAGGAAUGAUUGCAUUACAUGUUUGGAUUGACCAAUGAGUGAGGGGUCAAGGGCCAAGUUAAUUGAAUCCUACUAGUUCUGCAAGAAUUCUUAAUGUCACCCUGCCUAGAAGUGGGGUGGAGUUGCUGGGUGAAGGACUUUUUUUUGCUUAUCAUUUCACUGUAUAUCUCCUUUGCCAGAGGUAAAAUCCAUGAUACUUGUGCUAUUGUCAGAAGAUUAACUUAUCUCAGAAGUAACAGAAAAGGAGAUACUCAGGGGACCUAAAUCUAUCCAUCUUGUACCUAGAAACUUAGCUCACCUUAUGUGUUAUAUUUUUUGAUUUCUCUUUGAUUAGAUUUGCUCAGAAGAAGACAGCUUGAAUAGAUAUUUCUCUAAAACAGAUAUACAAAUGGCCAAAAGCAUGUGAAGGGAUGCUCAAAACCAUUAGUUAUCAGGGAAAUGCAAAUUAAAACCAUAAUGAGGUACCACUUUAUACUCUAGGAUUCCUAAAAUAAAAAAUAAGAAAAUAACCAGAGUUAUUUUGAGAGUGAAGAAAUCAGACCCCUUAUACACUGCUUGAUAAUAAUGUAAUAUGAUGCAGCCACUUUGAAAAAUAAGUCUGGAAGUUCCUCAAAAGUUUAAACAUUGAAUUAUUAUAUGACCAGAAAUUCUACUUAGAAGUGUGUAUUCAAAAGGAUUGAAUACACACAAAAACCUUUACAUGAAUGUUCACAGCACCAUUAUUCAUAAUAGUCAAAAAGUGAAAACAAAUGAAAUAUCUAUCAAUGGAUGUGAAUAGAUAGACAAAAUGUAACAAUGCAUACAAUGAAAUACAGUUCAGCUAUGAAAAGGAAUGAAAUACUAAUAAAUGAAUAAAACUUGAAAACUUAUGCUAAUUGGAAGAAGCCAGACUCAAAAAGACUUCAUAUUGUAUGAUUCCAUUUAUAUGAAAUGUCCAGAACAGGCAAAUCCACAGAAACAGAAUACAGAUUACUGGUUGCCAGGGGCUGGGUUGGGGGAGGAGUGGGGAGUGACUGUUCAUAGGUAUAGAGUUUUUUUGUGGGGGUGGGGUGAUGAAAAUAUUCUAAUCUUAGAUUGUAAUAAUGGUUGCAAAAGUGUGAAUAUAUUGAAACUUGAUUUGUAUUUCUUAAAUGAGUAAAUUGUACAGUAUAUGAAUUAUGUCUUAGGAAAGCCAUUUACAAAUUAAAAAGAAAGCUGCUUAUGUAAAUAUUAGAUUGCUGAGAAUGUUAUUAUUUACCACAGAAACCCAUGAAAACCUUAAAGAGCAAAAGGCGACCUGCAUGGUGUGUAGGGGCAGACUCCUAACAUCAAGAAUGAACCUCUUAGUUUUGUGGCAGCAGUUAGGACAUGAAAAUACCUUUGAGAGAAGACCCCAACCCUCUCUGAGCCAUGAAUAGAUAUGGUCUCCCUGUGUCCUUUUAAGGCAAACCUGGAGCCAAUGAGCUGAAUUUGCAUAGCCACAGCAUUUCCCUUAUGGUAGACCUCUAAAUUCUCCAAAUUAGGGAUUGCAAUCUUUCAGAAUUUGGGACUACGUACAGUGAUCAGCUUGUUCUGGUUUUUAUAGAUUUUAACACUGAAAUCCUCAUGUCAACCUAGUCAGUGCCAGGUAAAUUAGGACCACCAUCUAGAGCAAAUGGCCCAUGGAAAGCGGCUAUCUGUAUUAAUUCUUAUAAUAAACAGGGGCAAGAAAAUGUUAUAAUCUCUUUUGCUACAGAAAAUGGACUCCCUUCUUUUUCCCUGGAGUCCUGGGGCUCACUGCUGCCCUUACCCACCUUGAGAGAAUGGCCAAAGCACAGAAAUGAUCCAAGACAGCAAAUCAUAGUUCAGGUUUAAAAGCACCAGAAACCACUGGUAGGAUUCUGUGUCACUCACAUAUCAGAGCCAUGCUAGAAAUCCACAGGGAAAUUUGUAGUAUAAAUAGAAUGCUUGCCAACAAGCAGAAACCAAAUAUACCACAAAUUCUAACCUGAAAUCAAAACUAUUGAUAGAAGGUAUUCUAAUGAAGGAGACUUCCAAGCUGCUGUUUUCUGGCUAAAAAUUUCCCAGAAGCUAAUCAGAGCUCUGUGAAGCAUCCUUUUAACAGAAUUUAUGAAUGCUACCUAAACCCAAAUCUGACCUACAGAAUGAGGCAAUAUAACAUUAAAUGAUUGCCAUUUUAUCUAUCAAAAUUAAUCUAUUUAUAUUCUCCAGGAAAUAAACAUCCAUUCAUAAUCAGCAACCAGCACUUAAUAAAACAUAUAGUUUCUUUUACAAUGAGAAACAUUAAUGUUUUGAGUUUGUGAAGCCUCAGAAGAAAAAACCUAGUGGUCUGAAAAUAGGUACAAAACAACCUUUUUGGGGAACUUUAUUCAGACCCCCACGUACUAAACAAGAAAACUGUAAAGGAAAUGAACAAAGAGUAGAAAAGUUUUACACAAAAGAAAGAGUAAGUUUCAAGAGCAAUAGCAAUGAUGUAGGCCUACCCUGACAGUUUCUUAGCUUCAGUGUAGUUCAUCCAAGUGAUGUCUUAGGAUCAGUUGAAGCAGACUGUUUUACAAAAAUAAACUAAUAAGAAAAACUUUUCUCCACUAUUCAUGCAAAGAAGAUAAUUACAAUUGAAGAUGUAAUGCCAGAGUCUUCCUUUUCCUUUUCACAUGAUGACCUCGUGGUUUCUUAGUUGUUACACAUAAAAAAGGCAUCUGACCAAAAAUGACUCAAUUUGUUAAAUGGUUUACAAAUUUGUUAAAAGGAGGAGAAACACUCCCCCUUUUUUCUUUCUUUUUUCCUCUUCCUUCCUAUUUAUUUAUCUAUUAAUCUAUAUCUACCAUCUUGACUUUCUACAAGCGUGUGUGUGUGUGUGUGUGUGUGUGUGUGUGUGUUUGAAUGUGCUUUACAACUUGGCAGAUACCAACGUCAUUCUGUUGUUUUGGAAGUCAAACACAUGUUUGUUACUCAAUUGAUAAAUCCCACAUGACAAUCAUAGGAUUAGUUGGUUGUUUUUUCCAAGGUGUCACUACAUCAUUGCUUCUUUUCCCCUAGCUUAAAACUGCUCAGUUUCAGUCUUGCCCAUUUCCUCAGUAAGACACUUCUUUGCCAGAAACUAAGGCAAAAUCCAUAUUACUCCUAUAAUGAAAUCUACAAUAAAAUCCCAGAUUUAAAUGAAUAGUUUUAAACAUCAUUCAUUUGGUAAAUGAGGAAGGAGGCCACUGAGGAAGGCAAAUGGAGUAAAAUGAGCUUCUAUCAUCAGCUACUAUAAUUUUUGAGGCUGAUAUGCCUGUAAUCAGACCUGGAGCCCUUUGUCUAAAUUAAGUAAAAAUAAUAGGACUGUCUUCCACAUUCUUCUAUCUAGGUUGUCCCUUAGGACUUUUUUUCCUUCAGAUCUGGUCUUGGAGCUCAGGUGAACCUAUUAUCACCCAGAUAUGGUCUUAUUUGACUUAGCAUCUCACAAUCCCCGGAAGUAUAGGAUCCUGCUUUCCCUGAAGAUAGAUGGUCUUGCACUCUCUCUGUCCCAGGACAGAUGCCACAUUGCACAAAUCUAGUAUCUACAAUGCUGGUCAUUUUUAAAAUGAAUUUGAGGUAAAAGAAGACUCUGUUAAGUCCCUUUUUAGCGUUUGCUCUUGGGAUUUAUUGGAUUAACAUCUCAUUAUUUCAACUGUGAGUUUUUCCAUCCUGGGGAAAGAAGUUCCUCUCCUCAGGACAGGGAAGUGUGGGAACGCUUCCCUUGGAGAUGUGCCUUAUCUCUGUGGUGAAUAGAGGAAGGAACUGAACAUGCUCAGUUUAGCCCCUGUGCUUUAUGGUUCUCUACCUCUUGUCAAGAAUUUCUCACUCAGUUUCUCCAUGAAGUGAGCUUUCUACAUCAGGAUCUGGCCUUGUAAUGGGCAGGCUGAAAUUUGGGAUGGGUAGGGUCAAUUCUGAGAGAAAGUUAUUAAAGAACCCAUUUGUGGCUGUUAUCUGUGUCUGUUCUCCAAACUGUCCCUCGGAGUCAGAAGACUGGGUAUUUUGUUCUCAAAUUGAUUCUUGUGUUCACUUUCAGCUGCUUUUGAACUCAGAGAGUGGACAGGAAAUUAUCACUUCUUCUAUAGACACAAAUAAGCCCCACAUCCUAGCGGUUGAAACAACAAAGGUUUAUUUCUUGUUCAUGUUAUACAUUCACUGGGGCUCUGGUCAUUGGCUUUGACUACGCACCCGAAUAUUUACAGUUUAUAAAGACUGGUUCAAAUUUUAGCACCUCUGGGUAGGACUUUGUUAAUAAACAGAACCAGAAAAAAAUAUUCACAUUUGAAACUUAGGAUGUAAUUAUAAAGAUUGUGCCAAAGUGGUAUUUUCAAACAUAAUUUUCUAUGGGGGAACCAUAUUUAUAAUAAAUAACAAAGAGAAAUAUCAUCUACAACUGAAUAGGCCUUUUUAUAUCCCUUGAAUUGCUGAGAAUUAUUUUCGGGAAUACUUAAUUCAGAGCUUUUCUUUCAGGGUGUUGGCACUUUCCCCUUUUGGAUAUGAGUUAUACUAAACCGACCUCUAUUAUUUCUGGAUUACAUGUCAGCAAUGGAAAAUGAAUUGAGUGCUUUGAGGAGAAAAAAAUCAUUACCAGAAAGAUGAAUAGACUGAUUGUACUGGGUUACUAAAAGUAGUGGCUCUGGAAAGAUCAUUGGUUUGAUUUUUCUGGGAAACAUAUCUUCUUGGAUACUCUUCAGAGUUAUGAUAAAUUCCUCCAGCAGCAGGUGGGAGGUAAGUCUAUUGAUCUCACACUUUCUCCUGGCCCACUGACUUCAAAGACAGGCCUUUCUUUGCUAUGUGGUAUUCAAAUAUAGAAACUGCUUUGGGCUCUCAGAUUUCGCGUAUUUGGAAAAGAGUCAACAGCUAGCCAAAUUUACAUAUUUAUUGCUUUUGCCAUAGGAAGGAAAGACCUGUUUUGACAGAUAUGUAUUAUGUGCCAAUGAUAGAGCCAUGAUCAAGACUGAUGUAAGCUCCUUGCCUAAUAGAGUUCUCAGUCUUGGGGACAGGAGAUGGGUCUACAUGGGUAAAUAGCCUAUAGUUUCGUGUGAGAAAUACCAUAACAAGAACACAUAGGGUAGUAUGGGAAUCUUAUAACAGAGGAGAUGAGGGAAGACUUCCGGAAAGAAACGGCUUGUAAUUGUGACCUCAGUAGCACUUGGUCUUAACCAGAAGAAGAUGAAUGAGCAAAGGCCCUGAGGUUGGAGAGAACAUGACAUAUUUAAAGGAUUGAGUAGAAAGUAAUUGCACAGAUAAGGGAGAGAAACAAAAAGUGGCAAACAAAUGCAAGGUCAUAAACAGUCUAGCAAAAUGUGUUAGGAAGUGUGGCCUGUAUCUCCAUGGACAGUGUGGAUGAAUAGUUUUUUUAGCAGGCAAGUUUGCACAUAGUUUCUACAGAUGAAGACAGCCUCCUCAUCUUUCUGUCUGAGGUCAUUCUUUGGCCACUAGAGUAAGCUUGGCCAUAGCACACAUACAGUCAGGCAUGCAAUUCCAGGGAGUUAAUGUCCAGGGAGUGACCUUCAACAGUAGGGGUUGGGAACUGGAGAAUGAGUACUUCAGCUUUCCUGUCCCUCUAUACAUUAGUUCUGAGGUGUCUUCCAUCCAGUGUCUCAGAGGGUCCCCAAGGAGACUGAGCCCCAGUGGCCAACAGGGAUAACCUGCUCAUUAACACACUGCCUAUUGGCUUUCCUCCAUUCUCUGCCUUAUUUCCCACACCCUUAGAAUGCCUCCUGGGGUCACCUCCCUCCAAAAUAAACUGCAUGCUCCCAAAUCAGAGUGCCAGAGCCUAAGAUAAAAGUGACUGUGGGGAUAUCUGGGUGGUUCAGUGGUUUAGCGCCUGCCUUUAGCCCAGAGCAUGUUCCUGGAGUCCUGGAAUCCAGUCCCACAUCAGGCUCCCUGCAUGGAGCCUGCUUCUCCCUCUCCCUCUGCCUAUGUCUCUGCCUCUCCCUGUGUAUCUCUCAUGAAUAAAUAAAUAAAAUCUUAAAAAAAAAAAA